rnacentral:ncRNA from 7 species
UACCACAGGGAUAACUGGCUUGUGGC